ACAUGUGGGCACUAACAAUUUGAACAGGAGUGUCUGGGAUAUUGAUGUGAAACAAUAUCGUCUACUUUUUUAUACUGUGCGGGAACUAUACCGAUCAGCGACAAUUAUUUUCAAUGCGAUUUUGCCCAGAUGGGACUCAGAAGACCUUUAUGCCAGCAGCCUUUAUUAUAAUAUUAAACUGAACGAUUUAGCAUGCACCUUAGAGAACUGUUUGUAUAUAACGCAGAGUGAUUUGUUUCAAAACUUCGAUGAUUUGCAUGCCUAUGACGGACUGCAUCUGAAUUUCUAUGGAAAAAUUGUGUUUGCUGAGGUCGUUAUUGGGGCAAUUACCAAAUGUUUGACACCACGUAUUAAGGGGGCUGUAUAUGUUCCCCCAGAACUGAGGAAGCUUUGGUCUCCGAAGCCCCAGCGACGGGAGAAGAGAAGAGACAAUGAGAUCAAGGAGAGGAGACAGAAGAUGGAGGAGAACAAAGAGAAGAAAAUAGAGACGGAGGAGACAAAGCGAAGCAUGGAGAAGGAGAGAACGCGCAAGAUGGAGGAGAGAAAGCGGAAGCAAGCAGAGAGAAAGCGCAAGAUGGAGAAGGCGAGGAAGCGGAGGAUGGAGAAGGAGGCUGAAAGAAGGUGAAGGGAAAGUGUACCCAUCGAUCCGCUGGUAUUUAUACGGCCGCGUAGAUACGCAGUUCCCCCGCGACCACCAGACCUUCCUCCAAAUCAAUACAUCCCCGAUUCCCCAGCCCACUGGCUGAUUCCGUAUGUAAGUCUACCAGCCCCGUCCAUGACUUUUCAUACCAUGUCUGACCUCCCAGCACCCAUGUCACCAUAUCUGAAACGCAAACUCCUUGGGAAGAGAAAGCGAAUACAGGCCAGGGCUCGGAAACGGAAAAAGCAUCGGAAGAAGGUGACAGGAUUUACAUGUAGUCUGCUUUCACUGCUGCGGGGGUAAACCCAUGGAAACCAUCCCAGAGAUCAUCUUCAACUUCAUCCUUAUCAACGGCUUCAUCAUCGACGACAUCUCCAUCAACGGCUCCAUCAUCAA